rnacentral:rRNA from 1 species
AGAAUCAACGCUGGCGGCGUGCCUAACACAUGCAAGUCGAACGAGAAAGUGGAGCAAUCCAUGAGUAAAGUGGCGCACGGGUGAGUAACACGUGACUAACCUACCCUUGAGUGGGGGAUAACCUAGGGAAACCUGGGCUAAUACCGCAUAAUACCUUCGGGUCAAAGGAGCAAUUCGCUUAAGGAGGGGGUCGCGGCCGAUUAGUUAGUUGGCGGGGUAAUGGCCCACCAAGACUGUGAUCGGUAUCCGGCCUGAGAGGGCGCACGGACACACUGGAACUGAAACACGGUCCAGACUCCUACGGGAGGCAGCAGUGGGGAAUUUUGCGCAAUGGGGGAAACCCUGACGCAGCAACGCCGCGUGGAGGAUGAAGCCCCUUGGGGCGUAAACUCCUUUCGAUCGGGACGAUAAUGACGGUACCGGAAGAAGAAGCCCCGGCUAACUUCGUGCCAGCGGCCGC